rnacentral:misc_RNA from 1 species
UACGAAGGCCUCAAGCGUUAUCCGGAUUUAUUGGGCGUAAAGGGUCUCCAGGCGGUUCUAUUAGUCGGGCGUUAAAUCCUGCUGCUUAACGGCAGGGCCGCGUCCGAAACGGUAGAACUUGAGGGAUGGAGAGGGAGUAGGAACUCACGGUGUAGGGGUGAAAUCCGUUGAUAUCGUGGGGAACACCAAAGGCGAAGGCAAGCUCCUGGCCAUUUCCUGACGCUCAUGAGACGAAAGCGUGGGGAGCGAAUGGG